rnacentral:lncRNA from 1 species
GCUCCGGAGGGGCCUCCCGACCCCGGUGCGUCCACCUCACAGGCUCGUCUUCAAUUCCUGUGUCGGUGGACAGCGACCGCCCGACUUGUGCGUUACACAGACGAGAAUCAGGAAGCGUCGUGUGUGCAGGUCCCUCCACGUGCAGCCGUGUCAGGGCCUCACUCCUCUUCAUGGCUGCGUCGUGCUCCAGGCUGUGGACGUAGGAAGGUAACUUCGGAUGCAAACCUGUGUUGGGACAGGCGGCCGCACGCUGACAGCACACCCCACCUGGGGUGUGGACAGACCUCGCUGUGAGUGUCCAUCAUCCAUGGCUGGAUGCUCGGGGUGCUUCCCCCUUUCCUGUGAAUCACGCUGCUCUGGACACAGGUGCGCGGAUCUCUCCAUGUCCCGGAUUUCAAUUCUUUUCGGUCUACACCCAGGAGUGGAACUGCUGGCUCACGUGGUGGUUCUUUGUUUGACUUCUGAGGACCCACCGUCUUGUUUCCCAGGGGGGCUGCCCCGUGAACACCCCCACCAGCCGUGCAUGAGGCUGCGGUCCCUCCUCCUUCGAGCGCCAGCACCUGAGUCGGCUUCGCGUGGUCGCUGAGCUUUAUCUGCCAUUUUAUAAUAAACGUGGGGACUGGCCUGCGGGGGGUCUAGAGAGGCUAUCGGGUGGGGCUCCCUGUUGGAGCUCCCAUGUGAGGCAGCUGGUCCUUGUCCGUGUCCCUGGCCUGGUGGCCCUCCUGGCGCCGUGUGCCCAGAUCUGUCCCGAGUGCCUGAGUUAGCGGUUUUCUGGGGCUGCUGUGGCAAAUGACCACAGACGGGGCGGCCUCAAAGAACAGGAAUUUAUUUCCUCACCGUUCCGGAGGCCAGAAGUCCCAAAUCAAGGUGUCACAGGGCCACACUCUCUCAGGAGGCUCCAGGGGAGGGUCCUUCCUGCCUCUUCCAGCUUCUGGUGGUCGCUGGCAAUCGGCGUCCCUCGGCUCGGGGACGUGUCCCUCCAAACUCUGCCUCCGUCGUCACGCGGCCGUGUCCCUGUGUGUCUGCGUUCAAAUUCCCCUCUUCUUAGAAGGACACAGUCGUGGAUUAGGGCCACCCCGCUCCAGGACGAUUUCAUCUUCCCUCCAUCAGAUCUGCAAAGACUCCAUCUCCAAAUCAGGUCGCAUCUCUUCUAGAGAUUAGAAAUAAUUUGUGUAAGUGCCACCGGGGAAAAAAAACGGGGCAGAUUCUUCUAUGACAAUAAGUUCCGGCCCGAGGAGCCUGGGGAGUCGUGACAACUGAAUGCAACGUGAAAUUCUGGGUGGGAUCCAGAAACGGGAAGAAGAUGUUAGCGGGAAAACGGGUGCAGUGGAGGAAGGCAGCGUCCUCGGCGGGCGUGCGGGGGGCAGCGGGUGGCUGGCGCCCAACGUGCUGGCUUGGCAGCUUUUCUGUAAAUCUCAAAUUAUUCCCAAAUAAAAGUUCAUUUAAAAAACACCUUCCGGGGCCAUUCAUGGAAACACAAAGUCCCAGAAGAAAUUCCAGAUAAAUAUUUUUUUUUCAAUCUAGGGGCGAGGGAAUCCUUUCUAAAUGUGCUUUAAUAGGCAGAAACCAUAAAGAAAAAAAAAAAAACCUUCAGAGAUUUGACCACUGAAAAGUUGAAAAGAAAUUAACAUGUGUUCCAGUGGAGAUGCACAAUUAACAUUCUUCGUGUAAAACAUCUGUCAG